rnacentral:rRNA from 1 species
UACGUAGGGUGCGAGCGUUAUUCGGAAUUAUUGGGCGUAAAGGGCGCGUAGGCGGCUAGAUGUGUCAAAGGUGAAAUCCCUCGGCUCAACUGAGGAACUGCCUUUGAAACUGUCUGGCUUGAGGCCGGGAGAGGGUAGCGGAAUUCCCAGUGUAGCGGUGAAAUGCGUAGAUAUUGGGAGGAACACCAGUGGCGAAGGCGGCUACCUGGACCGGUUCUGACGCUGAGGCGCGAAAGCGUGGGUAGCAAACAGG